rnacentral:rRNA from 1 species
CCUACGGGUGGCAGCAGUGGGGAAUAUUGGGCAAUGGACGCAAGUCUGACCCAGCAACGCCGCGUGAAGGAAGAAGGCUUUCGGGUUGUAAACUUCUUUUAAGGGGGAAGAGCAGAAGACGGUACCCCUUGAAUAAGCCACGGCUAACUACGUGCCAGCAGCCGCGGUAAUACGUAGGUGGCAAGCGUUGUCCGGAUUUACUGGGUGUAAAGGGCGUGCAGCCGGAGAGACAAGUCAGAUGUGAAAUCCACGGGCUCAACCCGUGAACUGCAUUUGAAGCUGUUUCCCUUGAGUGUCGGAGAGGUAAUCGGAAUUCCUUGUGUAGCGGUGAAAUGCGUAGAUAUAAGGAAGAACACCAGUGGCGAAGGCGGAUUACUGGACGAUAACUGACGGUGAGGCGCGAAAGCGUGGGGAGCAAACAGGAUUAGAUACCCUUGUAGUC